rnacentral:rRNA from 1 species
CAUUAUUGAACGAAAACGGGUGGCAAAGGCUGUCGCUGGCUUGAAUGANCAUGUGCACGUCUUUUGCUGCUUAUUUCAUUCAUCUUUCCUCCUGUGCACUAUUUGUAGACACUUGGGAAUGAGAGGUUUGUUGUAUUGAUUGACCUCUUGGCGUUGAAAAAAUUCAAUGCAAUGUCCAAGUGUCUAUGACAUUUUUAUAUACACACGGUUGUAUGUCUAUAGAAUGAGAUGUAGGCUUAUUUAAAGCCAUUAAAUGAUAAAGUACAACUUUCAACAACGGAUCUCUUGGCUCUCGCAUCGAUGAAGAACGCAGCGAAAUGCGAUAAGUAAUGUGAAUUGCAGAAUUCAGUGAAUCAUCAAUCUUUGAACGCAUCUUGCGCUCCUUGGUAUUCCGAGGAGCAUGCCUGUUUGAGUGUCAUUAAAGUAUCUCAAAAGCUCUUAUGUGUUAUGCAUAUGGAACUUUUGGACAAUUGGGAGUUGCCGGUCACUGAUACAAGUGGUGGGCUCUUCUGAAAAGCAUUAGUUGAGGAGCUUUGCACUCUAUUGGUGUGAUAGACUAUCUAUGCCAGGAGAUGCAUUAUUGCCUCUGCUCUCUAACAGUCCUUAUUGGACAAGAUGACGAACUUGACCUCAAAUCAGGUAGGACUACCCGCUGAACUUAAGCAUAUCAAUAA